UGGGGAAUUUUGGACAAUGGGCGAAAGCCUGAUCCAGCAAUGCCGCGUGUGUGAAGAAGGCCUUCGGGUUGUAAAGCACUUUUGUCCGGAAAGAAAUCCUUGGCUCUAAUACAGUCGGGGGAUGACGGUACCGGAAGAAUAAGCACCGGCUAACUACGUGCCAGCAGCCGCGGUAAUACGUAGGGUGCAAGCGUUAAUCGGAAUUACUGGGCGUAAAGCGUGCGCAGGCGGUUUGCUAAGACCGAUGUGAAAUCCCCGGGCUCAACCUGGGAACUGCAUUGGUGACUGGCAGGCUAGAGUAUGGCAGAGGGGGGUAGAAUUCCACGUGUAGCAGUGAAAUGCGUAGAGAUGUGGAGGAAUACCGAUGGCGAAGGCAGCCCCCUGGGCCAAAUACUGACGCCCAUGCACGAAAGCGUGGGGAGCAAACAGGAUUAGAUACCCUGGUAGUCCACGCCCUAAACGAUGUCAACUAGUUGUUGGGGAUUCAUUUCCUUAGUAACGUAGCUAACGCGUGAAGUUGACCGCCUGGGGGAGUACGGUCGCAAGAUU
rnacentral:rRNA from 1 species